rnacentral:rRNA from 1 species
GAUGAACGCUGGCGGCGUGCCUAAUACAUGCAAGUCGAGCGAACAGACGAGGAGCUUGCUCCUCUGACGUUAGCGGCGGACGGGUGAGUAACACGUGGAUAACCUACCUAUAAGACUGGGAUAACUUCGGGAAACCGGAGCUAAUACCGGAUAAUAUAUUGAACCGCGUGGUUCAAUAGUGAAAGACGGUUUUGCUGUCACUUAUAGAUGGAUCCGCGCCGCAUUAGCUAGUUGGUAAGGUAACGGCUUACCAAGGCAACGAUGCGUAGCCGACCUGAGAGGGUGAUCGGCCACACUGGAACUGAGACACGGUCCAGACUCCUACGGGAGGCAGCAGUAGGGAAUCUUCCGCAAUGGGCGAAAGCUUGACGGAGCAACGCCGCGUGAGUGAUGAAGGUCUUCGGAUCGUAAAACGCUGUUAUUAGGGAAGAACAAAUGUGUAAGUAACUAUGCACGUCUUGACGGUACCUAAUCAGAAAGCCACGGCUAACUACGU